rnacentral:lncRNA from 1 species
ACUAUGAUUGCUGAGAAUGAUGGAAUGAUAGAUGGUCCAGGUUUUAAUAGUCCUGAAUCCCUACUGAUGGCCUCUUGUUUCCAGUUAAUUCUACAGACAAUGUGUUCUCUGUUCUCAUGGUAAGUAUAUGUCCUGGUUUUAACAGUCCUGAAUCCUUACUGAUGGCCUCUUGUUUCCAGUUAAUUCUACAGACAAUGUGUUCUCUGUUCUCAUGGUAAGUAUAUGUCCUGGUUUUAAUAGUCCUGAAUUCUUACUGAUGGCCUCUUGUUUCCAGUUAAUUCUACAGACAAUGUGUUCUCUGUUCUCAUGGUAAGUAUAUGUCCUGGUUUUAACAGUCAUGAAUCCUUACUGAU